GAAGUUAUUAUUAUUAUAUCUAUUUUGGGUUCUAAGUAUAAUUUGUUAAAUAGUAUUUACCCGAUUAGAAAACCAAAGUUGGAUCCAUUUCUUUCCCUUGUCGGUUAAUUAAAACCCAAAUCCAAAGAAAUUCAAUCUCAUUUGUUUUCUCCUUCCCCGUGAAAAUCCAUUUCACUUAAAACCCCAAACCCCAAUAUUUUCUCUCUCUCUCUCUCGUGUCCUGCUCGGUGCUCCACCGACAAACAGACUGCGGAGCUUUGAUGCUCGACGAAAGUCAACGCACGACUCCCCUGCCUUGCUGGACCGCGACCCAUCGCAUCUCUUUCUCUCUCUCGCCAACUCCUUUGUUCUCGUUGGUCCUCACUAGUUCUUCUGCACAUAGUUGUUGCAAUCACCAGACUCGUGACGAACCACCAGGCUGCUCGUGUGCCGCCGUCGUGAUGUUGUUGUUACUGCCUUGCUCUCCCAAAGUUCUAUUGGUGGCCGUGUGUUGAUGGUUUUGCUAAGUAUCGAGGUUUGGUGUUGUGAGCUCGGAAUUGGAAGUGGAGCAAGAUAAAGAUGUCGUUAUAGAUUAUGGAUUGAGUUUGUAUUUAGAUAGUUGAUUCAGGAAUAGUUUCUGAAAUUUCGUUGUAUAUAAUAUUUAGGAAUUUAGUCGAGAUAUUUGUGUAAUUAAGGAUAUUUUUCCGCUGCGAAGUAAUUUAAUUAAGAGUUUAUUGUUU